ACGCUUCUCCUAAAGACUAAGCCAUGCAUGCUUUCGAAUAAGAGGAAGCAAUUCUCUCUGAAUCUGCGAACGGCUCCGCACACCAGUUGUAAACCAUAGCAAGCACGAUCGGUAGUCGGCCCUCACAGGUCGGCUGCCGGUCAAUAAGGAUAACCCUGGUAAUUCCGAGGCUAAUACUAGAUCGUAAUCCCUGGCUGACCGUAUGGGAGGCUGGGGGACGUGUGAAUUAGGCGCAAGAUGAGCCGGGAAAGGAUG
rnacentral:rRNA from 1 species